rnacentral:rRNA from 1 species
UACAGAGGGUGCAAGCGUUGUCCGGAAUUAUUGGGCGUAAAGCGCGUGUAGGCGGCUUUGCAAGUCGGGUGUGAAAGCCCUCAGCUCAACUGAGGAAGUGCGCCCGAAACUGCAGAGCUUGAGUACCGGAGAGGAUGGCGGAAUUCCCCAAGUAGAGGUGAAAUUCGUAGAUAUGGGGAGGAACACCGGUGGCGAAGGCGGCCAUCUGGACGGAUACUGACGCUGAGACGCGAAAGCGUGGGUAGCAAACAGG